CACAAAAUAGUUGCAGUUAUUUAAUAUUUUUAAUUUAAUUUUUAUUUGCAGGCAGCUUCAGAAUGAAACAGCAGGAAGUCACUUACAAAGUUUGCGGGAUACACAUUUAAGACCAAGAGAAAAUCCGCUGCAGAGGACAGAUGUAGACAGUAAAAAGAAAAUCUAAAUCGACCACCAGUGGACAAUGGUUAUGCCUGUGCUGGAUGGGGAAAAAUAUGCUGUAGCAGCUGGGGCUGCAUAGCCAUGGGAAAUACUGCAUUCCUCUUUAAUCUUUAGACUCGAAGACAAGCCUUAUUAAUUUUACUCUAGAGAGUAUCAUGACAAUAACAUUUGAAUAGUGGAAAUAAUUAACAGAGUAUUUCUUUUAAAAGGUAAACAUUGUGACAUCCUUCAGCUAUAUAAUCAAUCCGAAUUACAAUAAAAACUUUUUUUUAUAAUUUGGUUACCAAACUCAAAUAUUUUAUAGCUAAUUUGUAUUGUUUAUAUGUUUAAAUUUUAUAUCUGAAAUAAUGCUUGUUAACUAAUUAAAAUUUACAAAAGUGAUUAAAUUUCAAUAUGUGUAACUUUUAUUAUAUAAUUUGCACUAAAAAAAAAA